GAUGAAGAACGUAGCGAAAUGCGAUAAGUAAUGUGAAUUGCAGAAUUCAGUGAAUCAUCGAGUCUUUGAACGCACAUUGCGCCACCUGGUACUCCGGGGGGCAUGCCUGUCCGAGCGUCAUUGCUGCCCUCAAGCACGGCUUGUGUGUUGGGCCCCCGUCCCCGGUUUCCCCCGGGGACGGGCCCGAAAGGCAGCGGCGGCACCGCGUCUGGUCCUCGAGCGUAUGGGGCUUUGUCACCCGCUCUGUAGGCCCGGCCGGCGCCAGCCGACACCCAACUUUAUUUCUAAGGUUGACCUCGGAUCAGGUAGGGAUACCCGCUGAACUUAAGCAUAUCAAUAAGCGGAGGA
rnacentral:misc_RNA from 1 species